AAUAUGAAUCUGCCAGAGGUCAUCACGCUGGAUUGGGAUGGUGAUGGAGGCUUUGGUGGUCCACACAACGAAGAAGCAGGUGGCCCGUCCAGUGAUGUGGAGCUGCCCUUGGACCUGGUGCCAGUAAGGGUGGUCUUCACGGAGGCUGUAAGACCCUCCCUCCUCCUGGAUAUAGAAAUCCUUCAACUUCACUGCCUCUUCAAUGACAUGAGGCGUGACAUGCAGAACAUCAGGCUCACCCCACGAGAAGCAGUGCAUGAUCAAUGCCACCCGCAGCAAGGAGAUCUUCUGGAAGUGAUGUAAUCUCUCUCUCACUCUGGGGUACUGACAGGAGGAGUCUGCCAUAGUUCGUCACGCUAGAUGGAGAUUGUGAUGGAGUCUUUGGUGGUCCACACAACGAAGAAGUAGGUGUCCCUUCCAGUGAUGUGGCGUUGACCUUGGACCUGGUGCCAGUAAGGAUGGUCUUCACAGAUGAUGUAAGACCCUCCCUCCUUGAUAAUAGAAAUCCAUUGACUUCACCGCUCUUCAAUGAUAAGGUCCCUUGUAUCAUAGGGACACUUGACCUCCACCACUGCUGUGGUGCCCACCAGACCAUCCAGUGAGGCACCCAGGAUCCCAGACCCCGUGACCCAAAGCCCUGACUCCUGCACAUCCAUCCCUGUAGUCAUUUAGAAUGCCUUGAUGUCCUCCUCUUAGUUUUCUGUGCCCCACUUUACAGACAACACCCCAUCCAAUGACUGUGAACACCCUAAAAUGCAUUCGUUGUAAGACGUGCUAUAUAAAUUAAGUUUGAUUUGAUUGAUGACAUUACAGCUGUAGAAUAUUUAAUAAACUGUAAUGUCACAUGAGGACAAGUGCAGUUUUUCCAUAAACUUUUAUUGAUAACUUGGGAUUUUAUCACUUGACAUAUCAAUCAUAUAGUUGAUCCUAUAAAUCAAGACUGAAUGCAUGUACCACUCCGAAUAAAUAAAUAAUGUGCAUUUGAAGAUUUGUCAUGCAACUAC